AGGGAGAACAGGGCCGCGAUGGGGUGGACGGUAGAAAAGGAGACUCUGGACGUGACGGGUUGCCAGGUAGAGAAGGCCCUCGUGGAGCAGAGGGGCCUCCAGGUCGGAGCACAGGACCUUCAGUUGGAGUCAGAGGAGAGAAAGGAGAGAGGGGGUUUCCAGGAUUGGAUGGGACCCCUGGAGUCAAUGGCCGCCCAGGAAGUGCUGGUCCUGCCGGAGCU